rnacentral:rRNA from 1 species
UACGUAGGCAGCAAGCGUUGUUCGGAAUUACUGGGCGUAAAGAGUGUGUAGGCGGUUCUCUAAGUUCGGUGUGAAAUCUCCCGGCUCAACUGGGAGGGUGCGCCGGAAACUGGAGUGCUGGAGCGCGGGAGAGGAAAGCGGAAUUCCUGGUGUAGCGGUGAAAUGCGUAGAUAUCAGGAGGAACACCGGCGGUGUAGACGGCUUUCUGGACCGUAGCUGACGCUGAGACACGAAAGCGUGGGUAGCAAACAGG